AGUCAGGACAACAGGUCAAGAAAGACUGAGAAGCUUCGGGGCUACCAGCCUCUUCAGGGAAAGGGUGCCGUCCUCAGUAUUGACUCCCUCAUGGUUUACACCCCACAGUCUGUGUGAAGGCAGCUAGAGGAGCUUCCACACUUGACUUCUCAUAUCCUGCUAUAAACUAGUCACCGCUCUUCAGAGAGGAAACACAGUGAAUACCAGCCUGCCGAAGAUGAACACGGCCAAUUCGUCUGUUACUGUGUUCCAUGCCCCAAAGAUGUUCCGAGAUACCCACCAUUAACAAACGCUCCAGGACUAGGGAGAUGGCUCAGAGGUUGCCGUGAGGUGAGCAGUUCCACAUAAGCGGGCCUUACCUACCGUGUUCUUCGGCCUCACCACGGGCAACAUGAAGAGCGCUCAUGCACUGACCGGACCCUCGGAACUGUGAACCAGCCGACCACCCUGCUAAAACAAGCGCCAGUAUUUGUCUUUUGAGAAGGCAGUGACUGGACACAUACGCCUGGGUGUACACCACAAGGCACUGGUGAAACCACUGUGUUUUGUUUUUGUUUUUUUAAGUUCAAUGAAAUAUUAUUAAAAAAUCAAAACAGAGAGCUGGGUGUGGGUUGCGAACCUCUAAUCCCAGCACUCGGCAGAGCAAGGCCGGAAGAUCGUGGAGUGGAGGCCAGCCUGGGUUCGUAUUCUGGCGAAAUGAAAAACAGCCUGGGGUUAUAAUCUAGGAAU